UUAAACCGUUAUAGAUGACUCAUU
rnacentral:siRNA from 1 species